GAGUGUGCAUGUGGUAGGACUGUGUUGACAGUGUGUGUGGCCCUGUGGAUGGUGGGGCUCGUCAGCUGCAGAAGACUUAAUGCUUCU